rnacentral:lncRNA from 1 species
UUCAUUGAGUUAUAUAUAUUAUAGAAAAUGGAGAAGGCAUCAACCGCUUUGCUCUCUCUUAUUGUCUUGUUCGUUUUGUUGGGUAAGGUUUCUUUCCCCCGCUCCACCUAUCCUCGCUCUUCGUCUAAUUAGCAUAAAAUAGAGUUGUAGCUAGUGGCAGAUGUAGAAUUUUCACCAAAAAAUUCAUCAUCUAUUAUAUAUUACUUUCUAGAAAAGAGAAAAAAAAAAAAACUAUAUUAUAUAACAUGAUUUUCUAACAAAGAGAUUAGAUGAACCCCUCCCACCUCCGCCCCCCUCAAAAUCUACCCCUAGUUGCAACCUUUAGAAUAAAAUUCUAGCUAACUCCAUGUAUAAUAGACAUAGUUUUUGUUUGAUUUUAUUAGUGAUCAUUGAUAAUAGAUUGAAUGUUUUUGAUAAACAUAGUAAAAGUAACAUGAAAGAAUCUAUAGUAUUAAUUUCUAAAUAUUAUUCUUGAAUUUAAUUAUUGAUCUUAAUAUUUCUUUUGGUUCGUAGGUUUACCAUCAUUUAUGGUGUUGGGACAAGAAAAGUUUCAAACUGAAACAAAUGGUAAUCCUGCACUUUUCAAACGUGGAAUAAGGAAGAAUGUUGUUGCUUGCAAGAAUGACAGUGAUUGUAAAAAGUUAUGUUCUCCUAAAACUAUAGCAGAUUGUCUGGCUGGACAAUGCUUUUGUAGUGAUAAUUAAGGCCAAAACUAAGACAUGUUUUGAGUUAUAAGAGAACAUUUUAUUUAUUGUAGUGAAAUUAAAGCGCAGUUCAUCAAAAGGAUGCUUACAUUUUCUUCA